ACAACUUGCAGACUUGUUUACGCUGCUGUGCGUUUUUGUUGCCGAUCUUACUUUGAUACCUGACGGUUUUUUACUUUUUCAUUACCGUAUAUUUUUACUUUUUCCCUCACUCAACUUUUUUCCUCACUCAACUUUUUUCAUUCAUCCCCGGAGGUUUUAUCUGGACAUGGUUCGUCAGGACUUCAAACAGCCGAAGCUAAGUAACAUUAACAUGAUGCCUUCUAAUUGCAGUCGUUGUACUUAUAAUAUACAGGAGAACGAUCGCCUUACGGCAAGGAUAGCUGUGCUGCAAGCCCAGCUUCAGACGCGAUCGUUAGGCAAGGGUAAUUUCAGUGUAGGAAAGGAUGAAACAGCGUCUGUGCCACCAGUAAGUACAGAUAGUAACGUUAGUAUAAACCCCCUCGCACGGUCCCCGCAGCCGGACAUCUUUCUCAUGGCUUCUGGAGGGAAACGCUGUAGGAAUGCUCAACCGGUGUCGCUUAUUCAGCCGACAGAAACUUUCAACCGGUUCUCCCCAUUAAGCGAGUCGGAGUCGGAGGCCGAGACUUCUCUGGUCUCUACUCCUCCCGUUGUGGGGUCUGAGACGCCGACGCCUCCCACCAUUAGCUCUGACAAAUUGAAAACCCUAGUCAUUGGCGACUCCAUUACCCGCAGUAUUAGACUUAAAACUAAUCAUCCAGCGAUCAUACACUGUUUACCAGGGGGCAGGGCUACCGACGUUAAGGCUAAUCUAAAGACG
rnacentral:lncRNA from 1 species